rnacentral:lncRNA from 1 species
GUUGUGGGGCACAUGGCAGGAGAUGCAGCCGGGUGGCAGUGCCAGGCGGGUGAGAAGCACCCGGGGCUGCCUCCGCUGCACCUCUUUGGUCAGAUGUGCACUGUGGGGCAACAGAGGUGCGGGGGCAGCCAGGGGGGUCGGCAGUGCCAGGCGGGUGAGAACCACCCGGGGCUGCCUCUGCCGCGCCUCUUCCAUCAGAUGCCCGCGGGGCAGCGGCUCAGAGAGCUGCCCAGAGGAUGCUGGCUGCCCCGAGAACGGCUCGCUGAGGGGCCCGGCGUCAGCCUGCGCCUCUCCGCUGAGCUCCCUGCUGCCGCUGGGACGGUCACGGAGGGCUCUGGUGAAAGGAGAGGUGCUGAGCCUGCUGGGGACGGCUGGGAACGCCUGCUGGGGGACCUCCCGAGGACUCGACGCUUCUGCAAAACAAAGAACAUCCCCCAAAACCAGGACGGCAGCCUUCCCACAGCCACUCGGCGCGGACAUCCAUCCGCCACCGCUGCGGCCCCUGAACUCACCAACGAUCCAGCUGAGCAAACCGUCGAGUUCCAGGCUGUCAUCUGGAAUGCCUGCGCUGGGUGUCCCAUCUGGGAAAAGGAUGGAAAUCCCCAAGGGGGCAAUGCCAGCUUUCCCACAGCCACUCGGAGCAGACAUCCCCGCCUGCUCUGCAGCCCCUGAACUCACCGUUGCUGAUCCACGUCAGGAUAUCAUCGAUCUCCGCGCUGUCGACCGGGAUGUCUGCGCUGGAUGUCAUGUCUGGAAAAGGCAAGAAAAUCCCC